rnacentral:rRNA from 1 species
AACGCAAAGGAAGGGACGGGGGACAGCACAAGCAGGUAGAGCAUGUGAUUUAAUUCGACGCGACGCGAAGAACCUAACCUGGAUAUGAUAUCUGGGGGAUACCAAGGAAACAUGGCGGGUGCCCUUUGGGGAGCCACAAGACAGAUGCUGCAUGUCAGUUGUCAGCUCGAGUCGUGAGAUUUUGGCUUAAGUCCCGCAACGAGCGCAACCCCAGUCUUCAGUAAACAACGAUUCGCUCGGGGACUAUGAAGAUACUGCCCCGCUUAACGGGGAGGAAGAUGGGGAUAACUUCAAGUCCUCAUGGCGUUUAUGCCCAGGCAUACACACGUGUUACAAUGGCCGAUACAGAGGAUAGCGAGAUCGCGAGAUGGAGCCAAUCCCAUUAACCUGUCCUCAGUUCGGAUUGGAGUCUGCAAUUCGGCUCCAUGAAGUUGGUAUCGCUAGUAAUCCAGGAUCAGCAUGCCGCGGCGAUUACGUUUCCGGACCAUCGUACACACCGCCCGUCACACCAUGAGAGUUGGCUAUACCCGAUGUCGCCGCCCCAACCUGUAUGGGGGGCGGCGCCGAAGGUAUGNUGACGAUUGGGUGAAGUCGUA